UACGGAGGGGGCUAGCGUUGUUCGGAAUUACUGGGCGUAAAGCGCGCGUAGGCGGACCUGCAAGUCGGGGGUGAAAGCCCGAGGCUCAACCUCGGAACUGCCUUCGAUACUGCGGGUCUCGAGUCCGGGAGAGGUGAGUGGAAUUCCUAGUGUAGAGGUGAAAUUCGUAGAUAUUCGCAAGAACACCAGUGGCGAAGGCGGCUCACUGGCCCGGUACUGACGCUGAGGUGCGAAAGCGUGGGGAGCAAACGGG
rnacentral:rRNA from 1 species